rnacentral:rRNA from 1 species
CUACCGAGCCUAGUUAUAGCUGGUUGCCUGAGAAUUGAAUAGAAGUUCAGCCCUUUAAAUUUUUCACUCCCCUUGGCCCAAGGCCUUCACACCGAACAAAAGAAGUUAAAGGAGUUAGUCAAAGGGGGUACAGCCCCUUUGAAACAAGAUACAACUUUCCAAGGAGGAUAAAGAUCACAACAAACUCAAAGGUUUAAUGCCCCAGUGGGCCUAAAAGCAGCCAUCUACCCAGAAAGCGUUAAAGCUCGAACAUCACAUAACCAGCCUUCUAAUAAAGACAACCCAAUCUCACCCCCCUAAGCCUAUCAGGCCAUUCCAUAAAAGUAUGGAAGCGUUCAUGCUAAUACGAGUAAUAAGAGAGCUCCCCUCUCUCCCCGCACAAGUGUACCUCGGAACGAACCAUUCACCGAUCAUUAACGGCCCCAAAACAAAGAGGGCCUUAGACAAAAAACAAACAACUAGAAAAUCACCUAACCCUCCACCGUUAACCCCACACUGGUGUGCCAACCGGGAAAGAUUAAAAGGGAAAGAAGGAACUCGGCAAACACAAGCCUCGCCUGUUUACCAAAAACAUCGCCUCUUGUACCCCUAAAUGUAAGAGGCCCCGCCUGCCCUGUGACUGUAA